rnacentral:rRNA from 1 species
GGCAGAGGGCAAACCGGGGAGCUACGGCUCUCCGGGGUUGAGGACUGCAUUUAGUCUUAAUGGUCUAUCCGAACUACCUGGAAAGGUAGGCAACACAGUGUAAAAGCCACGUAGGUUAAAGACCAGAGAGAUGAGCAGUAUCCAGAGUACCACGAGGCACGAGGAAUCUUGUGGGAAGCCGGGGGGACCACCCUCCAACCCUAAACACUGAAUGGCGACCGAUAGCGCAUAGUACCGUGAGGGAAAGGUGAAAAGAACCCCGGGAGGGGAGUGAAAGAGAACCUGAAACCAUAUGCCUACAAGAAGUCAGAGCCCGUUAAAGGGUGAUGGCGUGCCUUUUGUAGAAUGAACCGGCGAGUUACUGUAUGGAGCGAGGUUAAGCAGGAUAUGCGGAGCCGAAGCGAAAGCGAGUCUUAAGAGGGCGAGAGUUGCAUGCAGUAGACCCGAAACCGGGUGAUCUAGCCAUGACCAGGUUGAAGUUGGGGUAAAACCCGAUGGAGGACCGAACCGACCCCCGUUGAAACGUUGGCGGAUGAGUUGUGGCUAGGGGUGAAAUUCCAAUCGAACCCGGAGAUAGCUGGUUCUCCCCGAAAUAGCUUUAGGGCUAGCGUCGAGGUAAGUUGCGUGAAGGUAGAGCACUGAAUAUGUGAUGGCCCCAUCUCGGGGUACUGAGCAUAAUCAAACUGCGAAUGUCACGCCAACAUGCUCGGCAGUCAGACAGCGGGUGAUAAGGUCCGUUGUCAAGAGGGAAACAGCCCAGACCAUCAGCUAAGGUCCCAAAAUGUAUGCUAAGUGGAAAAGGAUGUGGAGAUGUACAGACAACUAGGAGGUUGGCUCAGAAGCAGCCAUCCUUUAAAGAGUGCGUAACAGCUCACUAGUCGAAUGACUCUGCGCCGAUAAUUUACCGGGGCUAAGCAUACUACCGAAGCUAUGGAUCCCAAGGGAUGGUAGGGGAGCGUUCCAUGAACGGAGAAGUACGACCGAAAGGACGUGUGGAGAUCAUGGAAGAGAGAAUGCCGGUGUGAGUAGCGGAACGUGGGUGAGAAUCCCACGCACCGAAAACCCAAGGUUUCCAGAGGAAGGUUCGUCCGCUCUGGGUAAGUCGGGACCUAAGGCGAGGCCGAAAGGCGUAGUCGAUGGACAACAGGUAGAGAUUCCUGUACCCGUAUAUAUGUGAAGGAAUGACGGAGAGAGGAAGCUGCAGCCAGCGGCUGGAAGAGCUGGUGCAAGCGAGAUAUCGGGAUGGCAGGCAAAUCCACCAUCCGAAACGAGAAGGCGUGAAGCGUACGGAAAGCUACGGCGAGUACGGAAGGCAGUGGAGGAACUUCCAAGAAAAGUUUCUAACGUUAAGUAUAUAUGGCCCGUACCGAAAAUGGACACACAUGGGUGAGGAGAGAAUCCUAAGGUGAGCGAGAGAACUAUAGCUAAGGAACUCUGCAAAAUGACUCCGUAACUUAGGGAGAAGGAGUGCUCAUAGAGAUAUGAGCCGCAGUGAAACGGCCCAAGCGACUGUUUACCAAAAACACAGCUCUCUGCUAAGCCGCAAGGCGAAGUAUAGGGGGUGACGCCUGCCCGGUGCUGGAAGGUUAAGGGGAGGGGUUAACGCAAGUGAAGCCCUGAACUGAAGCCCCAGUAAACGGCGGCCGUAACUAUAACGGUCCUAAGGUAGCGAAAUUCCUUGUCAGGU